rnacentral:rRNA from 1 species
UGGUACCUUUCCCAGAAGAAGUCCCGGCAAACUCCGUGCCAGCAGCCGCGGUAAUACGGAGGGGGCAAGCGUUGUUCGGAAUUAUUGGGCGUAAAGGGCAUGUAGGCGGUUUGGUAAGUUAAAGGUGAAAUACCAGGGCUUAACCCUGGGGCUGCUUUUAAUACUGCAGGACUAGAGUCCGGAAGAGGAUAGCGGAAUUCCUAGUGUAGAGGUGAAAUUCGUAGAUAUUAGGAGGAACACCAGUGGCGAAGGCGGCUGUCUGGUCCGGUACUGACGCUGAGGUGCGAAAGCGUGGGGAGCAAACAGAUAGACCAUCCCA